AACGAACGCUGGCGGCAUGCCUAACACAUGCAAGUCGAACGAGACCUUCGGGUCUAGUGGCGCACGGGUGCGUAACGCGUGGGAACCUGCCCUUAGGUUCGGAAUAACUCCCCGAAAGGGGUGCUAAUACCGGAUAAUGUCUUCGGACCAAAGAUUUAUCGCCUUUGGAUGGGCCCGCGUUGGAUUAGCUAGUUGGUAGGGUAAAAGCCUACCAAGGCGACGAUCCAUAGCUGGUCUGAGAGGAUGAUCAGCCACACUGGGACUGAGACCCGGCCCAGACUCCUACGGGAGGGAGCAGUGGGGAAUAUUGGACAAUGGGCGAAAGCCUGAUCCAGCCAUGCCGCGUGAGUGAUGAAGGCGUUAGGGUUGUAAAGCUCUUUUACCCGGGAUGAUAAUGACAGUACCGGGAGAAUAAGCUCCGGCUAACUCCGUG
rnacentral:rRNA from 1 species